rnacentral:rRNA from 1 species
GAUGAACGCUGGCGGCGUGCCUAAUACAUGCAAGUCGAGCGAACGGACGAGAAGCUUGCUUCUCUGAUGUUAGCGGCGGACGGGUGAGUAACACGUGGAUAACCUACCUAUAAGACUGGGAUAACUUCGGGAAACCGUAGCUAAUACCGGCUAAUAUUUUGUACCGCAUGGUUCAAAAGUGAAAGACGGUCUUGCUGUCACUUAUAGAUGCAUCCACGCUGCAUUAGCUAGUUGGUAAGGUAACGGCUUACCAAGGCAACGAUGCAUAGCAGACAUGAGAGGGUGAUCGGCCACACGGGAACUGAGACACGGUCCAGACACCUACGGGGGGCAGCAGUAGGGAAUCUUCCGCGAUGGGCGAAAGCCUGACGGAGCAACACCGCGUGAAUGAUGAAGGUCUUCGGAUCGUAAAACUCUGUUAUUAGGAAAGAACAAAUGUGUAAGUAACUGUGCACAUCUUGACGGUACCUAAUCAGAAAGCCACGGCUAACUACGUG